AAAGUAACGUAACGCAUUACUUUCCAUAAAAAGUAAUUAGUUAGUUACUUUUCCCCAAAUGAAUUCCCCAAAUGUGGGAAUCUUGACUGCAUAAUUUAUGGUAGUGUGGGACUGCGUUCGCGCUCUCCCCUG
rnacentral:snRNA from 1 species